UCUCCAUUGUCUGGAGCAGUCCACGUAGAGUUCCCCCUUGCGGGUGGCAACUACGUGUAAGGGUUGCGCUCGUUGCGGGACUUAACCCAACACCUCACGGCACGAGCUGACGACAGCCAUGCAGCGCCUCCACACUUGUCCCUUGCGGGAAGGCCGUGUUUCCACAGCUUGUCAAGUGCGCUUCGAGCCCAGGUAAGGUUCCUCGCGUAGCGUCGAAUUGAACCACAUGUUCCACCGCUUGUGCGGGCCCCCGUCAAUUCCUUUGAGUUUCAGUCUUGCGACCGUACUCCCCAGGCGCAGGACUUAACGCGUUAGCUCCGGGACGUCCCGAGUAAUCGGGACACCCCAAGUCCUGAUCGUUUAGGGCUAGGACUAC
rnacentral:misc_RNA from 1 species